GGGGGAUGGCGGAGCUCGUGUGAGUGACGGACCGCGUGAGGGGUUGCGGUUUUCGGAUCGUAUAGCUCUGUUGUUAGGGAAGAACAAGUGCCGUUCAAAUAGGGCGGCACCUUGACGGUACCUAACCAGAAAGCCACGGCUAACUACGUGCCAGCAGCCGCGGUAAUACGUAGGUGGCAAGCGUUGUCCGGAAUUAUUGGGCGUAAAGGGCUCGCAGGCGGUUUCUUAAGUCUGAUGUGAAAGCCCCCGGCUCAACCGGGGAGGGUCAUUGGAAACUGGGGAACUUGAGUGCAGAAGAGGAGAGUGGAAUUCCACGUGUAGCGGUGAAAUGCGUAGAGAUGUGGAGGAACACCAGUGGCGAAGGCGACUCUCUGGUCUGUAACUGACGCUGAGGAGCGAAAGCGUGGGGAGCGAACAGGAUUAGAUACCCUGGUAGUCCACGCCGUAAACGAUGAGUGCUAAGUGUUAGGGGGUUUCCGCCCCUUAGUGCUGCAGCUAACGCAUUAAGCACUCCGCCUGGGGAGUACGGUCGCAAGACUGAAACUCAAAGAAAUUGACGG
rnacentral:rRNA from 1 species